rnacentral:rRNA from 1 species
AUUGAACGCUGGCGGCAGGCCUAACACAUGCAAGUCGAACGAGUGGCGGACGGGUGAGUAAUGUCUGGGAAACUGCCUGAUGGAGGGGGAUAAAUACUGGAAACGGUAGCUAAUACCGCAUACCAUCAGAUGUGCCCAUAUGGGAUUGGCUAGUUGGGGGGUUCACGGCGCAACAAGGCGACGAUCCCUAGCCGGGCUGAGAGGAUUACCAGCCACACUGGAACGGAGACACGGUCCAGACUCCUACGGGAGGCAGCAGUGGGGAAUCGUGCACAAUGGGCGCAAGCCUGAUGCAGCCAUGCCGCGUGUAUGAAGAAGGCCUUCGGGUUGUAAAGUACUUUCAGCGGGGAGGCGUUACCCGCAGAAGAAGCACCGGCUAACUCCGUGCCAGCAGCCGCGGUAAUAC